rnacentral:rRNA from 1 species
AGUGGGGAAUAUUGGGCAAUGGGCGCAAGCCUGACCCAGCCAUGCCGCGUGAGUGAUGAAGGCCUUCGGGUCGUAAAGCUCUGUGGGAAGGGACGAAAAAAACGGGUCUAACACACCCGGGCUUGACGGUACCUUCUUAGCAAGCACCGGCUAACUCCGUGCCAGCAGCCGCGGUAAUACGGAGGGUGCAAACGUUGCUCGGAAUCAUUGGGCGUAAAGCGCACGUAGGCGGUCGGCUAUGUCGGAUGUGAAAGCCUCGGGCUUAACCCGAGAAGGGCAUCCGAAACUGGCCGGCUUGAGUACGGAAGAGGGUCUCGGAAUUCCCGGUGUAGAGGUGAAAUUCGUAGAUAUCGGGAGGAACACCAGUGGCGAAGGCGGAGACCUGGGCCGAUACUGACGCUGAGGUGCGAAAGCGUGGGGAGCAAA